AUUCUGCCCUCACGGGGAAGGAUGAGAAGCUUCGACUAAGGUUCGAUUCGAGCGGAAGCGAGAAAGCGUUGCCGAAGGCAACGACCCGAAGGGCGAGGCGCAACGCGCCGAGUAAUCCUUCCCCCACCACCA
rnacentral:sRNA from 6 species